rnacentral:rRNA from 1 species
GACGAGCCUCACAAACGUUAUUCGGAAUUACUGGGCUUAAAGGGUGCGUAGGCGGCGCGGAAAGUUGGGUGUGAAAUCCCUCGGCUCAACCGAGGAACUGCGCCCAAAACUACCGUGCUCGAGGAAGAUAGAGGUGAGCGGAACUUACGGUGGAGCGGUGAAAUGCGUUGAUAUCGUAAGGAACACCCGUGGCGAAAGCGGCUCACUGGGUCUUCUCUGACGCUGAUGCACGAAAGCGUGGGGAUCAAACAGG